rnacentral:rRNA from 1 species
UACGGAGGGUGCAAGCGUUAUCCGGAUUCACUGGGUUUAAAGGGUGCGUAGGCGGGCAGGUAAGUCCGUGGUGAAAUCUCUGAGCUUAACUCAGAAACUGCCAUGGAUACUAUUUGUCUUGAAUAUUGUGGAGGUAAGCGGAAUAUGUCAUGUAGCGUUGAAAUGCUUAGAUAUGACAUAGAACACCAAUUGCGAAGGCAGCUUACUACACAGUUAUUGACGCUGAGGCACGAAAGCGUGGGGAUCAAACAGG